GUUUGCCCUAAUUUGGUGCAAACUUUUCUAUAUCCGCCGUCACCUAAUUUGUGAAUCUAUACUCAAAUUCAACUUCUUGUUUCUUCAAAGAUUAUAUUGAUUCUGCUGGAAUGAGGAGGAGAAGUUACAGCCCAUCACCACCAAGAGGUUAUGGCAGAAGAGGAAGGAGUCCAAGUCCCAGAGGUCGAUAUGCUGGUCAUGGUAGAGAUGGUCCGACUAGUCUUUUAGUUCGAAACCUUCGCCAUGAUUGUCGGCCAGAAGACCUCAGGAGGCCAUUCGGGCAAUUUGGCCCUGUGAAGGAUAUUUACUUGCCAAAGGACUACUACACUGGUGAACCACGAGGCUUUGGAUUUGUCCAGUUUGUGGAUCCUGCUGAUGCUGCAGAUGCUAAGUAUCAGAUGGAUGGACAAGGUUUUCAAGGUCGGCAACUGACUGUGGUUUUUGCAGAGGAAAACAGGAAAAAACCUACUGAAAUGAGAUCUAGGGAACGCAGUGGAAGUCAUAGGAGUAGCCGCAGCUAUGAUAGGAGACGUACUCCACCUUCACGUUAUGCAAGACCAGGAUCACACAGCCGUGAUUACUCUCCCAAGAGAAGGCCGUACUCGAGGUCUGUCUCACCUGAAGAGAAAAGAUACAGUCGUGAGAGGUCAUAUUCACGAUCCCCUCCUCGGGACCUGUCUCCUCCACCACAUAAUGGAUCAAGGAGUCGAAGUCAAACUCCAGUCAGAGAGCACCCACCAUACAAUGGCAGUCCAAGGAGCCGUAGCAGAAGUCCAGUUAGGAGGGAGCGUUCUCCAGUUAGGGGUCACAGCAGGAGCCCUAGUAGGAGCCGUAGCAGGAGCCCUGGUUGUGCUCCCUACUCACCAUGAUCCAAACUGCUAUGUGUCUUCAUGAUUCUGAACUCUUUAUGUCUUAAGUAGAUGAAUGCUGUAAUAUGGAUCUAUCUUUGGUGCUGUUUCUAAACUCGAAUAUCCGUUUUAUGCGACUCUUUUUCUUUUUGAUUCUGGGUAUUUUUAUGAGAUCUAUGUGGUAAACUCAAUUCCUUCAUGUGCUUCGUGUAUGCAUGGGAAAAUGGAUGCAUUUUAGUUUGUCUCGUUUAAGGAGUUAAAACAGACAAGGA
rnacentral:misc_RNA from 1 species